AGAAGACGGCAUACGAGGAACAAUUGUCCUAAAAAUAGAAGGUGCGGAGUUUGCAGAGAAGAAGGUCAUACAAGGACCAAUUGUCCUGAUGUAAGAAGGUGCGGAAUUCGCAGAAAAAAAGGUCAUACGAGAACUACAUGUCCAAAACGUUCACACACAAGCAGUGAAGAUAGUCACGAAGAAAUCUCUGAAGAAUAUGAUUCUAGUAAGUUUUAAUAAUGAUAUUGUACUCUUUUUUUAGUAUAUCUGUGUGUGCAUGCGUGCACACGCGCGUUGCCUGUCUUUUCUAUGUAUUUAUUAAUUUAUAUUUUAUUCACGAAACCGAUUACA